AUUGAACGCUGGCGGCAGGCCUAACACAUGCAAGUCGAGCGGGGGAGCAAUCCCUAGCGGCGGACGGGUUAGUAACGCGUGGGAACACACCCUUUGGUACGGAAUAGCCUCGGGAAACUGAGAGUAAUACCGUAUGUGCCCUUCGGGGGAAAGAUUUAUCGCCAAAGGAUUGGCCCGCGUUGGAUUAGGUAGUUGGUGGGGUAAAGGCCUACCAAGCCGACGAUCCAUAGCUGGUUUGAGAGGAUGAUCAGCCACACUGGGACUGAGACACGGCCCAGACUCCUACGGGAGGCAGCAGUGGGGAAUCUUAGACAAUGGGGGAAACCCUGAUCUAGCCAUGCCGCGUGAUCGAUGAAGGCCUUAGGGUUGUAAAGAUCUUUCAGUGGGGGAAGAUAAUGACGGUACCCACAGAAGAAGCCCCGGCUAACUCCGUGCCAGCAGCCGCGGUAAAGUGACUACUG
rnacentral:rRNA from 1 species